rnacentral:rRNA from 1 species
AUUGAACGCUGGCGGAAUGCUUUACACAUGCAAGUCGAGCGGCAGCGCGGGGCAACCUGGCGGCGAGCGGCGAACGGGUGAGUAAUGUAUCGGAACGUACCCAGUCGUGGGGGAUAACUAUCCGAAGGAUAGCUAAUACCGCAUACGUCCUGAGGGAGAAAGCGGGGGAGUCGCAAGACCUCGCGCGAUUGGAGCGGCCGAUAUCGGAUUAGCUAGUUGGUGAGGUAAAGGCUCACCAAGGCGACGAUCCGUAGCUGGUCUGAGAGGACGACCAGCCACACUGGAACUGAGACACGGUCCAGACUCCUGCGGGAGGCAGCAGUGGGGAAUUUUGGACAAUGGGGGGCAACCCUGAUCCAGCCAUUCCGCGUGUGGGACGAAGGCCUCGGUGUAACGCUUCUAGCGGAACGAAUACGACUGUUUUAAUUACGGUACAGUGG